rnacentral:sRNA from 1 species
AACCAAAAAGGACGGGAUAGGGGCAACCCCUAUCCCGUCCUUUUAUCCC